rnacentral:rRNA from 1 species
GACACGGUCCAAACUCCUACGGGAGGCAGCAGUGAGGAAUAUUGGUCAAUGGACGAGAGUCUGAACCAGCCAAGUAGCGUGAAGGAUGACUGCCCUAUGGGUUGUAAACUUCUUUUAUAUGGGAAUAAAACGUUCCACGUGUGGGAUUUUGUAUGUACCAUAUGAAUAAGGAUCGGCUAACUCCGUGCCAGCAGCCGCGGUAAUACGGAGGAUCCGAGCGUUAUCCGGAUUUAUUGGGUUUAAAGGGAGCGUAGGUGGAUUGUUAAGUCAGUUGUGAAAGUUUGCGGCUCAACCGUAAAAUUGCAGUUGAAACUGGCAGUCUUGAGUACAGUAGAGGUGGGCGGAAUUCGUGGUGUAGCGGUGAAAUGCUUAGAUAUCACGAAGAACUCCGAUUGCGAAGGCAGUUCACUGGACUGCAACUGACACUGAGGCUCGAAAGUGUGGGUAUCAAACAGGAUUAGAUACCCUGGUAGUCCACACAGUAAACGAUGAAUACUCGCUGUUUGCGAUAUACAGCAAGCGGC